rnacentral:rRNA from 1 species
UACGAAGGGGGCUAGCGGUGUUCGGAAUCACUGGGCGUAAAGCGCACGCAGGCGGAUCGAUAAGUCGGGGGUGAAAGCCCGGGGCUCAACCUCGGAAUUGCCUUCGAUACUGUCGGUCUCGAGUCCGGGAGAGGUGAGUGGAAUUCCUAGUGUAGAGGUGAAAUUCGUAGAUAUUAGGAAGAACACCAGUGGCGAAGGCGGCUCACUGGCCCGGCACUGACUCUCAGGUGCGAAAGCGUGGGGAGCUAACAGG